GACGAACGCUGGCGGCGUGCCUAAUACAUGCAAGUUGAGCGCUGAAGGUUGGUACUUGUACCAACUGGAUGAGCAGCGAACGGGUGAGUAACGCGUGGGGAAUCUGCCUUUGAGCGGGGGACAACAUUUGGAAACGAAUGCUAAUACCGCAUAAAAACUUUAAACACAAGUUUGAAGUUUGAAAGAUGCAAUUGCAUCACUCAAAGAUGAUCCCGCGUUGUAUUAGCUAGUUGGUGAGGUAAAGGCUCACCAAGGCGAUGAUACAUAGCCGACCUGAGAGGGUGAUCGGCCACAUUGGGACUGAGACACGGCCCAAACUCCUACGGGAGGCAGCAGUAGGGAAUCUUCGGCAAUAGACGAAAGUCUGACCGAGCAACGCCGCGUGAGUGAAGAAGGUUUUCGGAUCGUAAAACUCUGUUGGUAGAGAAGAACGUUGGUGAGAGUGGAAAGCUCAUCAAGUGACGGUAACUACCCAGAAAGGGACGGCUAACUACGUG
rnacentral:rRNA from 1 species